rfam:Schistosoma rodhaini strain Burundi genome assembly, scaffold: SROB_scaffold0000038
AUCCAACUGACAAGUCACAAAUAGGACGAAACACGCGUCAAACUGGAU